rnacentral:rRNA from 1 species
GGUUGAUCCUGCCAGUAGUCAUAUGCUUGUCCUAAAGAUUAAGCCAUGCAUGUCUAAGUAUAAACACGUUGUACGGUGAAACUGCGAAUGGCUCAUUAUAUCAGUUAUAAUUCAUUUGAUGGUCUCUUUACUACUUGGAUAACCGUGGUAAUUCUAGAGCUAAUACAUGCGAAAAGCCCGACUCUCUCGGGGGAAGGGCUGUAUUUAUUAGAUUAAAAACCAACGAGCUUGGUGAUUCAUGAUAACUGUGCGGAUCGCAUGGCCCAGCGCCGGCGACGCUUCAUUCAAAUUU